GUGAAGACAUUCAGCCUCAACAGUUUCCUAAUGGCACAGUAAGUAUAACUGGUCAAGACAUUGGUGCAACGGUAAGCUUUUCAUGUGAUAGUGGAUUUGGUUUAAAUGGAACAAUGGUCAUCACAUGCACAGACUCUGGGUGGAAUGAUGAUAUUCCAAAAUGCAUAGAUCCUUGUGAUUCAAACAAUUGUGCACCCAGAGGUUUGAUAUGCAGGCCAUUGGGAUUAAUGUAUGUUUGUGUUGUUGAUUUUGAAGGAAAGUUUCUUAUUCCCGGGUUGUUAAGGUUGCGAAAUGAGAAUGAGAGUUAAUUAUUUCAAGGCAAAACAGAGUGAAGUUAUA